GUGGAUCCUUAAGUAAAGAUGGAGCUCAAGACUUUCUGUCUCUAUUACAUACUACGCAAAUCAAGGGAGAGCCCUACAAAAGUUACAGAAGGGAACAGCCAGAGGACAAGGACACCAUGUUCUUCAUCCUCAUGCAAGACAUCUGACCUGUUCUUCUGAGAGGAAUCCCAGGAACAACACACGCUCUCUCAGCCUCCAGCCGGAUCAGUUCUGAGUGUUCUCAAGCCCAACCAAUGAUUGAGGGGGCACUGUCAAUCUCUUGCUGCAAUCAUCAAGGAUUGUUUGUCAUGUAUGCACUGACCUCUUUGGAAUUCCAUCAUGCAAAGUGCGCUUGCUUGUCUUUGCUUUCAUUAUAGUUACCCACAAUAACUCAUACCUUUGCACUCAUUUUCCGAGAACUUGUAGGACACCAUUAUUUGCUGUCUCCUAUAGCCAGGCAUUUCAUCCUCUGCAUCUGGAAACAGGGCCAGCUUCAGGGAUAUACAACCUGCACAGUUACACAGGGCCCCCCACUCAGAAGGACCCCAAACUUGGUUUCAUUCUGUGCUGCUGCCAUCUUGAAAGGCUUAAUUGUUUUUUCAACAACGGCAUUGCAUUUUCAUUUUGCACGGAGCCCUGCAAAUUAUGUAGUUGAUCCUGUCUAGAAGACUAACUGCCUCAAGGUGAAUUUCUAUCAAGCCCUGUCUUUACACCUGGGAUGGGAGCCAUUACAGACUGGUUCUGAGUACAGCUUUUAGCCCCAGUGAUCAUUUUCAUUGCCAUUCACUUGGUAGGGUGACUAUUACCAACCUAAAAGUUCAAGCAGCCCAAAAAUACUUUUGAUAUUUGAUUACAGAUAACUGGUUUGACCAAAAGUUAAGGUUUAUCCUUGGCCAUCCUUUAUCAUCCUGUUACCAUGUGUACAGACAGGCUCCUGCUCCUUCAAAGCUCCUUCAUUUAGAAACAAUACCAGCACCCCCUACCCCAAACACUGGUUCAUACAGUUUCCAAUUCUAUAAACUUAAUGUGUUAUGCAAAGUUCAACAUUUUCUUAGCAUAAUUUGAUUAAGGAUGUGCAGAAUUGCAUCAGAUGUAAUAAAAGCCAAGCCCUGUAAUUUCAAUUAUUAAAUACUUGUACCAAAGCCUGUACCUGAGCAGCUCAGUGGCUCAUACUUGAACUGCAAAAGUAGCAACUGAAUGUACAGAAAGCAGGGAAAGUGUCUGAAUGAAUUGUUUUCUUAGCUGUGACAGAUUUGAAAAGGGUUUCCUCAAGGUGAAGGACAAAAGGGGUCUAUAAACUGCGCAUUUACCUCAGGACAU
rnacentral:lncRNA from 1 species